rnacentral:rRNA from 1 species
UACGUAGGGCGCAAGCGUUUAUCCGGAAUUAUUGGGCGUAAAGAGCUCGUAGGCGGUUUGUCGCGUCUGCCGUGAAAAGUCCGGGGCUCAACUCCGGAUCUGCGGUGGGUACGGGCAGACUAGAGUGAUGUAGGGGAGACUGGAAUUCCUGGUGUAGCGGUGAAAUGCGCAGAUAUCAGGAGGAACACCGAUGGCGAAGGCAGGUCUCUGGGCCAUAACUGACGCUGAGAAGCGAAAGCAUGGGGAGCGAACAGG